rnacentral:rRNA from 1 species
GAUCUGUGCCUUUGGAGUAGGGAUUGGCUCUGAGGAUGGGUGUAGUAGGCCAUAUAUUUGAAGUUGCUGAUUGUUGUUGGUCGGGAGGCCCUUUACUGGGUGUCCUGCUGACGGGAUUAGUAACGGAUGAUGUACGGUACUCUUUGCUAUACAUUAAACAAUCAAGCUCAAAACUGGCUUGGACAAGGGGAAUCCGACUGUCUAAUUAAAACAAAGCAUUGCGAUGGCUGGCGAGUGGGGUUGACGCAAUGUGAUUUCUGCCCACUGCUCUGAAUGUCACAGUGAAAAAAUUCGAUAAGCGCGGGUAAACGGCGGGGGUAACUAUGACUCUCUUUGGGUAGCCCAAUGCCUCCUCAUCUAAUUAGUGACGCGCAUGAAUGGAUUAACGAGAUUCCCGCUGUCCCUAUCUACUAUUCAGCGAAACCACAGCUAGGGGAACGGGCCUAGCAUUAUCAGCGGGGAAAGAAGACCCUGUUGAGCUUGACUCUAGUCUGACAUUGUGAAGUGGCUCGGAAGGUGUAGAAUAGGUGGGAGCUUCGGCGACAGUGAAAUACCACUACUUUCGGUGUCAUUUUACUUAUCUGGUUAAAUGGUAAUGCAUUCAGUUGCUAUUUUUUAGUUGAAGGUCUUGUGCUUAGGUGGGAGAUCGGACUUACCCAGAGACAUUGUCAGGUGGGGAGUUUGACUGGGGCGGUACAUCUGUCAAAAGAUAACGCAGGUGUCCUAAGGCUGACUCAGUGAGGACAGAAACCUCGCAUAGAGCAAAAGGGCAAAUGUCAGCUUGAUUUGGAUUUUCAGUGUGAAUACAGACUGCGAAAGCGUGGCCUAUCGAUCCUUUUGAUGUUACAGGCUUUAAGCAAGAGGUGUCAGAAAAGUUACCACAGGGAUAACUGGCUUGUGGCAGCCAAGCGUUCAUAGCGACGUUGCUUUUUGAUCCUUAGAUGUCGGCUCUUCCUAUCAUUGCGAAGCAGAAUUCUCAAAGUGGUGGAUGGUUCACCCAAUCACAGGGAGUAGGAGAAUGGAAUUACACCGUAGUGAGACAGGUUAGUUUUACCCUACUGAUUAUAUCAACCAUUGGAGUAGUAUCCCCUCUCAGCACGAGAGGACCCGUCGAUACAGACAUGUGGUGUAUAUAACUAUCGAACCACUCCGU